GUGCCAGCAGCCGCGGUAAUACAGAGGUCUCAAGCGUUGUUCGGAAUCACUGGGCGUAAAGGGUGCGUAGGUGGCGUGGUAAGUCAGAUGUGAAAGCCCGGGGCUCAACCCCGGAAUUGCAUCCGAUACUGCCAUGCUAGAGUACUGAAGAGGUGACUAGAAUUCUCGGUGUAGCAGUGAAAUGCGUAGAUAUCGAGAGGAAUACCAACGGCGAAGGCAGGUCACUGGGCAGUUACUGACACUGAGGCACGAAGGCCAGGGGAGCAAACGGGAUUAGAAACCCCGGUAGUCC
rnacentral:rRNA from 1 species